rnacentral:lncRNA from 1 species
AUGUGUGACUUUGUGCAUCACACUCCCCCUGGGUUCUCUAAAUCGUUUGUAAUACUCCCGCUAUCAUCUUUGAGUUUGUGUGUAAUGCUCCAUGUGGCCUCUCUGGCUUCGUGUGUAACCCUUGCACUUGCCUCUGUGACUUCAUGUGUAACAAUCCAUGUGGCCUCUAUGACUUGGUGUGUCACACUCCCCACAUUGUCUUUUCUCAUGUGUUACUUUCCCCAUGGUUUCUUGGACUUUGUGCAUCACACUUUCCCUGAUGUCUUUGACAUCAUUUGUAACACUUCCCCUGGCGUCUCAGAAUUCAUGUCUAACAGUCUGGUUAGCCUCUCUGACUUUGUGGUUCACACUCUAGAUGGUGUCACUGACUUUGUGUGUCACAGUGCUCCUUAUGCCUCUGACUUCUUGUGUCACACUUCCCCUGUUCUCUCAGAAUUCACGUGUAACACUCUACAUUAUAUCACUGCCUUUGUAUGUCACGAUCUGCCUGUUGUCUCAGAGUGCGUGUGUCACACUCACCAUGGCAUCUCUGAUUUUCUUUCUAAAACUGCCCCUAUUGUCUGUGACUUCAUGUGUCACACUGCACCUUGGGUCUCUGACUUGGUGUGUAGCACACCAUGUGACAUCUCUUACUUUGUGUGUAACACACUCCCUGGUGUCUCUGACAUCCUGUGUAACACUACCCCUUGUGUUACUGACUUCGUGUGUUACACUCCCCUUGGCAUCUCAGACUUCUCAUGUCAAUUUCCUGAUUGUGUCUCUGGCUUCCUGUGUAGCACUACUCCUGUCAUCUCUGACUUCAUGUGUAACAAUCUACAUCACUUCUCAGACUUCAUGUUUCACUUUCCACUGGCCUCUUUGACUUCCUGUGUCACAAUCCCCUUGGUGUCUGUGACUUUGUCACACUACCCCUUCCUCUCUGACUUGGUGUGUAACAGUUCCCUGUUGUCAUUGACUUCCUGUGUAACAUUCUCCCUUGAGGACUCUGAGUUUGUAACACUCACCCUGCAAUCUCCAUAUUCAUGUUACACUCUCCAUGGCAUCUCUGAUUUCACGAGUCACACUCCACCUGUUGUCUCCAAAUUUGUGUGUCAUACACCCCCUAGCAUUUCUGACUUCAUGGAUAAGACUCUACAUUGUGUCUCUGACUUCGUGUGUCACAUGCCAACUGUCACCUCUGACUUCGUGUGUCAGAGUCCUCAUGUGUCUCUUACUUCAUAA